GUGUGUGUGUGUGUGUGUGUGUGUGUGUGUGUGUGUGUGAUGUGUGUGUGUGUGCGCGCGCAUAGUUUUUUUCACGAGUGUGUCGAUGCAUGAAUUGAACACAUUCAGAAUAGACUGUUGAUGUUUCCAAAGUAGUAAAUAGUAUUUUUAAAAUCUCCAAAUGAACCUUGUACAAGUGUCAUAAAUGUUUACAAUGACCUACCUAUGUUUUGUGCGGGGGUCUCAGAUUAAAUUAAAUAUGCGAGGUAAAUCUUCGCAGAAGUGUUUAUCAAUACUAACAAGAUCUAUGUGUGCCAUUAAAUAAAAUAUAUAGAGCUGUCAAAGACAAAGGGACGAUUUCUUCUUUUGAAUAUAUAUGUACACUAUAGUAUUUAUGUGUAUUGGUCUCGGAGUUGAGAAAAUCUAUAUUUACACUAACAAGUGUAUUAAUUCUCUUUUGUGCAGUAUUCCACGAACCUAUUGUAAUGGACUGGGUAAUGUGGUUGAGGUCAAGACAUAUGAUGCACCUUUUCCCCAAAUUAAAGCUGUCCCUGGUGUCUUAAUGUCUUGUCUGUUGCAUGCUUAUGUUAAAAUGCUCCAAGGAUCAACAAUUAGACUUUUUUUGUUUUUUAAAUAAAAAAUGGUUGCAGCUCUGCAUACUGUGUGCGAAGUCUAAGCUGAUUACUUUAAUUAUCCCAAUUUUUGCCAAACGGAAGUGCCCAUAACCAUAAUUUCAGAAGCAGUCAGAUCACGUGAGAUGCAUUCGAUUGUUUUAUUUCACACUUAAUGGGUGGUCAGGGACUCUAGAUAGAAAAUUGCUAGUCUAGUGAUGCUGGAAAGCCAUUUUUCCCCGAAUUAUCCCCUUAAAUAUUAACCGGCUCAUCCAUUUGGGCUAAUCACGUGCUUAAUUGUAGUGUUUAAUUCCCAUGGUUCCUGAAAGCACCUUUCGCAAGACUUUGAUUGGUGGAAAAUGCGGAAGUUAACGUUCAUAACAAGUACUUUUUAGUGAAUGUUGCGUCUGACGAUCGGCUUUUACAAGCGAUUACACUAAACCCAAUUACGAGCAGCAGCACCUUUGAGUGUUUUUGGGACGCAGCAGUCAAGAUAAUUUACAUUUAAGACAAACCCGAAAGACGCGUUUGCGCUGACUCCACUGCGCUUGCGUGAUGCUCAAGAUGUGGUGCUGCUGC